GGUAGAGUCUCACUUAUCCAAGCUAAACGAGCUGGCAGAAGCUUGGAUAAGCGAAUAUCUUGGAUAAUAAGGAGGGAUUAAGGAAAAGCCUAUUAAACAUCAAAUUAGGUUAUGAUUUUACAAAUUAAGCACCAAAAUAUCAUGUUAUAGAACAAAUUUGACAGAAAAAGUAGUUCAAUAGGCAGUAAUGCUAUGUUGUAAUUACUGUAUUUACGAAUUUAGCACCAAAAUAUCAUGAUACAGUAGAGUCUCACUUAUCCAAGCUAAACGGGCCGGCAGAAGCUUGGAUAAGCGAAUAUCUUGGAUAAUAAGGAGGGAUUCAAGAAAAGCCUAUUAAACAUCAAAUUAGGUUAUGAUUUUACAAAUUAAGCACCAAAAUAUCAUGUUAUAGAACAAAUUUGACAGAAAAAGUAGUUCAGUACGCAGUAAUGCUAUGUUGUAAUUACUGUAUUUAUGAAUUUAUUAGAUGCUGCUAGAUUCAUAAAUAUUAGCACCAAAAUAUCAUGAUACAGUAGAGUCUCACUUAUCCAACAUAAACGGGCCGGCAGAAUGUUGGAUAAACAAAUAUGUUGGAUAGUAAGGAGGCAUUAAGGAAAAGCCUAUUAAACAUCAAAUUAGGUUAUGAUUUUACAAAUGAAGCACCAAAACAUCAUGUUAGACAACAAAUUUGGCAGAAAAAGUAGUUCAAUAUACAGUAAUGCUUUGUAGUAAUUACUGUAUUUAUGAAUUUAGCACCAAAAUAUCACAAUAUAUUGAAAACAUUGACUACAAAAAUGCGUUGGAUAAUCCAGAACGUUGGAUAAGCGAGUGUUGGACUCUACUGUAUAUGGCAAACAUUCAAUGCUAUCAGACAAACAACAUACAGUAUAGAUACACACAGAGGCAAUUUAACAUUUCCAGCUUCAUGAGGGUAUGCUCGAUUCCGCCCACAGGGGGAGCUGUUGCUUGACCGUCCACUAGUGACACCAAGUACUGUACUUCCUCAUUCCUUUCCACAUGCUGCUGGCAGUUUUAUGCUGUUGCAAAUUAGUUCAAUUAGCCUCCCACAUAAAGCGUACCUAAAUUUCCUAGUUGACAGAUGCAACUGUCUUUUGGGCUGCUUAGGUAAACAGCAAGCUGGGCUAUUUAAUGGUCAAACCCGACCCAGGCUUUGAACUCAUGACCUCCCGGUCAGUAGUGAUUUAUUGCAGCUGGUUACUAGCCAGCUG
rnacentral:lncRNA from 1 species